rnacentral:sRNA from 1 species
UUAAGCGUGAAGGAUAACGUUGCGUCAGCAACGGCCCGAAGGGCGAGGCGAAGCCGAGUCAUCCUGCACGACCCACCA